ACAAUGAGGAACUCUGAUGCUUGAUGCCGCGUGAGUGAAGAAGGCCUUUGGGUUGUAAAGCUCUUUUGUAGGGGAAGAUAAUGACUGUACCCUAAGAAUAAGGUCCGGCUAACUUCGUGCCAGCAGCCGCGGUAAUACGAAGGGACCUAGCGUAGUUCGGAAUUACUGGGCGUAAAGCGCGCGUAGGCCGUUGAGUUAGUUAAUUGUGAAAUCCCAAAGCUUAACUUUGGAACUGCAAUUAAAACUGCUCGACUAGAGUUUGAUAGAGGAAAGCGGAAUACAUAGUGUAGAGGUGAAAUUCGUAGAUAUUAUGUAGAACACCAGUUGCGAAGGCGGCUUUCUGGGUCAACACUGGACGCUGNAGGCGCCGNAUAAGUANNUGGCGUAGCACAAGAAGGAUUAGCAUACCGCUCGUAGUCCAGUACCAUAAACGAUGAUUGCUAGAUGUUGGAAAUUUAUUUUCAGUAUCGCAGCUAACGCAUUAAGCAAUCCGCCUGGGGAGUACGACCGCAAGGUUAAAACUCAAAUGAAUUGACGGGGACCCGCACAAGCGGUGGAGCAUGUGGUUUAAUUCGAAGAUACGCGCAGAACCUUACCAAACCCU
rnacentral:rRNA from 1 species